AAUUUGGGUGGGGCUGGAUGCUCUUCACAGCUCACAGAGAAUGGGUGUAUCAGGUAAGUACCAACGCCCUUUCUCCAAUGAGCUGUUCAGAGCAUCCAGUAGCAGUGGGACAUACCAAAGCUUGGCUGUCCUACGGGAGGGACUCCAUCUGGG